CAGUCACCUGGCUGACCUGGGACGGACGGUCACAGUACGGGAGAUAUACGAUUGUACUGAUCACACGGCCGGCAGCCUGGAGCCCCUCACCAGGUGCCCUGAGCUGCGAUGCCUAUCAGUCACCGCCACCGACCUUCCGCGACUGAGGGGGCAGCUGCCGGAGGGCCUCAGACUCCUCAAUGUCAGAGGGCCGGAGGUGACGGAGCCGAGGUGGCCGGAAUGGGACGAGGAUGAUGGUCUG